rnacentral:rRNA from 1 species
GACGAACGCUGGCGGCGUGCUUAACACAUGCAAGUCGAACGGAAGGGCUUGGCACUUGUGGGGUGCUCGUGAGGCGAACGGGUGUGUAUCACGUGAGUAACCUGCCCUUGACUGUGGGAUAACUUCAGGAAACAGGGGCUAAUAUCGGAUAUGAGCACCUGAUGCACGGUGGGGGUGGGAAAGUUUCGGCGGUUUGGGAUGGACUCGCGGUUUAUCAGCUUGUUGGUGGGGUGGUGGCUUACCAAGGCGUUGACGGGUAGCCGGACUGAGAGUGUGACCGGCCACAUUGGGCCUGGGAUACGGGCCAGACUCCUACGGGAGGCAGCAGUGGGGAAUAUUGCACAAUAGGCGGAAGCCUGGUGCAGCAACGCCGCGUGCUGAAUGACGGCCUUCGGGUUGUAAACCGCUUUCGCCUGUGACGAAGCGUGAGUGACGGUAAUGAGUAAAGAAGCACCGGCUAACUACGUG